GCGACUUUAGCUCAGUUGGUAGAGCAACGCACUUUUAAUGCGGAGGUCAUGGGUUCAAGCCCCAUAAGUCGCA
rnacentral:tRNA from 1 species